AACCAGCUCAGAGUGAACAUUUUUGCCCCAGUCCUGCCCUUGUGUUUCCAGCUGGUUCUUCCAUCUGCUCAAUAUGUUUAACCCAAAACUGUUUGGGGUGGAAGCGCAGUUGCUGUACCUGGAUUUGCAUUUCCCAUCCUGAAUUGCCUCAGGAGAAAACCAAAAAUGCACAUUUUUAAAGAUUUCUCUUUUUUGCCAUGGAAUGUUGGGAUAUUCCUGUGGUUUGGAGGAAGAAAUGCAAGUCUGCCCCUUUCCUCCCCCGCUGAUUCCAGUGUUUGAAGAGGCAGCUGCAUCCCAAACCAGAAUCUCCUCUCUAAAACCAGUAUCUCACAUCCCAAUUUCAGGACAUUCUCUUUAAAAAAAAAAUAAUUAUCAGCAUUAAUUUAAUGAGGUUCAGGUUUUAAAACACUUUUUAAGCAUUAAUUUCAGGAUUGGCUGAAUUCCUGAACUAUUUAUUCCAGUGUAAAAUGCUGGAAUUCAGGAUUUAGAGCUGACAGGUCCGAUAGUUUUGGUGAAUAUUUGUAAUUAAAAAUUCCCAUUUCCUAAUACAACUCAUGUCAAUUCUUAAGGAAAAAAAAUUGCAAAAUUCCUGGAGAUGGAUGACAAGCAGAAUAAAUCCAUGAACUCCCAGCACAGGCUGCACUGAUGCUGGAAUUCUGGGAGGUUGGUGUGGGGAAUGUGUGAGGGUCAGAGUAUUCCCCGUGGGAAAAGGCCAAAGCUGGGAUUGUACAAAAUUUGGUGUUUUGAGGCACUGACCUUGGCUGCUCCCGGGUUUUCCCUGGUCCCAGCGCUCCCGGUUUGCUGCUCCUGGAGCCCGUGUGUGUUUGGAGCUGUGUCCAUGGAGAUGAGGAGCUGAGGUCACAGUGUGAUCCCAGCCCCAGCCAGCUUCCACAGUGGGAUCUGAUCCCCAGGGAGGCUCUGCAGGAGGAUCCCAUCCCCAGGACAGCACCCCCAGAUCCUUUCCCAGCUUUCCUGACUCUGUCCCAAGCCUGGAGCCAUCCUUGGGGUUGUUGUGUCCCCAGGGCAGGACACAGCACUCGGUCACACUGACCCUCACACCACUGACCCCUGCCCGUGGAUCCCAUCCCACCAACCCAGCCUGGCCAGAUCCCUCUGUGGGGGGAUCCAGCCUCAGAUCCAGCCUCAGAUCCAGGCUCAGAUCCAGGCUCAGAUCUCCAGCCUCAGAUCCAGCCUCAGAUCUCCAGCCUCAGAUCUCCAGCCUCAGAUCCAGCCUCAGAUCCAGCCUCAGAUCUCCAGCCUCAGAUCUCCAGGCUCUGCAGCUCCUGGAGCUGCCUCUGCUUCCCAAACCUUCAGCUUUCCCUGGCUGCUCCCAGGGCAGCUUGCUGCAUUGAAUUUAGCAGGCUUUAUGGAAUUUAUGUAUCUGGAACAGUUCAUGAUUAUUUUAGUUUCUUGAAAACCUUGGGAACUGUGUGGAAAGAUGGAUGUUGACAUAAAAAGAAGCUGUUUCCACUUUCAUAAAGAUGGUGGCAAAAAUCAAGAAAUCGAGGAGUUUUGUUGUAACAUGAGGUGGAAAACUGGGAAACAAAGGUAAGAAUGGUAGAGAAAAAAAAAAGGAUGGAAGAAGCAGACUAAAUAUGGCAAAAAAAGC
ensembl:lncRNA